GGCAUUACUUGCAUCGUACAUCUUGCCACAUAAAUAGCUGAUGCACAAAGCAUGGAUGGCUUGUAGUUCAAAGCCUCGUAUUCAACCAAGCACAGCUCGAUGAGGUAAAAGGCCAAAUGUUCAAACCUUGUGUCUGCUUGAGCAGCCUUAAGAAGCCUUAGCAUGAAGACAUAAGGAGUUGCUGCAUUAAGGCGAAACUUCAAUUUCCUUAAGAUAUCCUUCUCCAUAUCCAGCAUUUGAUCUCUAGUAUAUGACUCCCCAGAUAUGCUUAGUAAGUCUAUGAUCCUCGGAUGCCAAAGGUCUUCAUAUUUUGAUGCCAAAAACAGUGAAGUAAGGCCAACUAGCUGCAGAUCGUUCUUCUUGACCCUCACUAACGAUAAGUAGUAGUCCAGUAGUGUAACCAUAAGAAAUAGAGCUUCUUGCAUCAAAUCAAAUUUCAAAUGAACUUCAAUAAGCCAGUUGAUCAAUAUGCCACGC
rnacentral:misc_RNA from 1 species